GUGGCAUUCCGGCGACUGCUUGAACCCAACACGCUGCAAUAGACGAUGGCAUCGGGAAAUAAUAGGACGAAGGUUCUUCAUUUACCUCACAACGAACAAUUGUACAAUCUGGUUCAUCUUCGGAGGACGAGGAAAUUAACGAUACCGACCCAAGAGGACUAAAUGGGUUCAGAUCUAAAGACUUCUUCGACAUAGAUUCUACAUUUUUUAAUUUAUCGAUGACAAGGUCUCCCUCCGGUGUUAUCUUCAAACUAUCAUCAAAGACUUGAUCAUGAGAUGACAUUUGGUAAGGCAGUACUAAACUCAAC
rnacentral:lncRNA from 1 species